rnacentral:rRNA from 1 species
AGAGUUUGAUCCUGGCUCAGGACGAACGCUGACGGUGUGCUUUAGACAUGCAAGUCGAACGAGAAAGCCCUUCGGGGUGAGUAAAGUGGCGAACGGGUGCGUAACACGUGGGCAACCUGCCCCUCACAGGGGGACAACCGGAGGAAACUCCGGCUAAUACCCCGUAAGCUCUACAUAUCGCAUGGUAAGUAGAGGAAAGGUAGCUUCGGCCAUCCGGUGAGGGAUGGGCCCGCGGUCCAUUAGCUAGUUGGUGGGGUAACGGCCCACCAAGGCGACGAUGGAUAGCUGGUCUGAGAGGAUGAUCAGCCACACUGGGACUGAGACACGGCCCAGACUCCUACGGGAGGCAGCAGUCGGGAAUCUUGCACAAUGGGCGAAAGCCUGAUGCAGCAACACCGCGUGAGCGAGGAAGGCCUUCGGGUCGUAAAGCUCUGUUGUUGGGGACGAAGGGCGAAGGGUUAAUAGCCCCUAGCUUGACGGUACCCUUCGAGGAAGCCCCGGCUAACUACGUGCCAGCAGCCGCGGUAAUACGUAGGGGGCGAGCGUUGUCCGGAAUUAUUGGGCGUAAAGAGCGUGUAGGCGGUUCGGUAAGUCUGCUGUGAAAUCCUGGGGCUCAACCCUGGGCGUGCAGCGGAUACUGCCGGGCUAGAGGAUGGUAGAGGCGAGUGGAAUUCCCGGUGUAGCGGUGAAAUGCGCAGAUAUCGGGAGGAACACCAGUAGCGAAGGCGGCUCGCUGGGCCAUUCCUGACGCUGAGACGCGAAAGCAUGGGGAGCGAACAGGAUUAGAUACCCUGGUAGUCG